rnacentral:tRNA from 1 species
GGGGCUAUAGCUCAGUGGUAGAGUGCGUGCUUAGCAUGCACAAUGUCCUGGGUUCAGCCCCCAGUGGCUCCA